rnacentral:rRNA from 1 species
CAUGGCGUCAUAGAGGGUGAGAAUCCCGUAUGUGACUGUGGCUCGAGCCCAUGUGAAGCCUCUUCGACGAGUCGAGUUGUUUGGGAAUGCAGCUCAAAAUGGGUGGUAAAUUUCAUCUAAAGCUAAAUACUGGCUGGAGACCGAUAGCGCACAAGUAGAGUGAUCGAAAGAUGAAAAGCACUUUGGAAAGAGAGUCAAACAGUACGUGAAAUUGUUGAAAGGGAAGCGCUUGCAACCAGACCUGUCCGUAGGUGAUCAGCCGCUGUUCUCAGUGGUGCACUCGCUCUGCGAUCAGGCCAGCAUCGGUUCUGGCGGUCGGAUAAAGGCCUUGGGAAUGUAGCUCCCCUCGGGGAGUCUUAUAGCCCUCGGUGCAAUGCGGCCAGCCGGGACCGAGGACCGCGCUUCGGCUAGGAUGCUGGCGUAAUGGUUGUCAGCGACCCGUCUUGAAACACGGACCAAGGAGUCUACAUCUUAUGCGAGUGUUUGGGUGUCAAACCCAUACGCGGAAUGAAAGUGAACGGAGGUGAGAACCCUUAAGGGCGCAUCAUCGACCGAUCCAGAUGUCUUCGGAUGGAUUUGAGUAUGAGCAUAAUACGUGGGACCCGAAAGAUGGUGAACUAUGCCUGAAUAGGGUGAA